CGGCCGACGCGCACGGCGCGACUCCGGCACGCGAACUGAACGGACGAAAUGAAAGUGUAACGUGUUGUUUAGAACUCAGAUUAAGAUACAGUGAUGAGUUUUACGUAUAUAGUUUUUUGGAUGUAGGUUUUUCGGGUGAGAGAUAUCAAACACCAAAAACAAUGCAGUAAAAUGAGAAUAUCAAUCGGUUCGUCACGCGCAGAAUGUAAGGGGAGUUAGCCAGUGACAUGCAACUUGUAAUGCUGAAUUUUCUAAUCAUGUUCGACGUGGUGUUCAUAUUCUUUCUGUUCCUGAUUGCUGUGACGUGUGUUAUGAACUACAUGCCGGGCCGGAGCAAGCGAGCUGAGGUCACUGAGGAUGAGGUGGACGAUGACGUCAUUCCCCCUCCCCCACUGUUCGCAGGAGAUGACAUUGAGGUUCCUACCAGUCGAGACACAUAUGUGGUGAUUGCGCCGCCGCUAGACAACGUUAGAGCUAAGGGCAGCUGCCCUGUUCAUGUGGUGUAGUAUAAGCACUGAUAUAUUAUAUCAACGUAGGAGUUUAUAACGAAGAAGCCUUAUGAGAAUGUAGGUGUCGAAAUGUAGACAUUUUUUACCAAUUAGUCGAGUUUUAAAUAAAUUCUUGUUAUGAAGACUAAGAUGGUGGAUUAGGGAAUCAAGUGGAUGUAAAUGAGUUGGUCUGUAUCAUGGGUACUAAACAGAAACCUCUUUCGAUUGCACUUUACGAAGACAUAGAUAUAUAAACAUAGAGCUGUAAUGCAAAAUUUAAAAUAAUAAAUGUAUAGAAGCCGUGUAUAUUGAAAUGUAAUAAAAAUAGUGGCAGUAUUAGAAACGAGUAGCACUAAAUAUUUUUUUAAUAUUUUAUUUUAAUAUUCGCUACUGCGUUGCGCAAAACACAUGAGUACGUUGAAUCAAUUAUGUUGGGGAUUCCAAUAACGUUACACUCGCUGACGGAUUUAGGGGCCACGUCACGGAGCUGCGACAACAGGGGACUACGCCGCAAAUAUAUAGGUAAUAGACACAUAAAUAGUUGGAAAACUGAAUAGAGUCAGAACAGAAUAAAAGAGGUUUACCCACACCACUGAUACACGGCAAAGCUACGCUAAAUUGAACGUCAAUAACACUCUUAUCGAAUACUUGAAGCUGUCUUUGGUAAUAUGAGAACAUAGCAGUUUUGAGUAGUUACAUGUGCUGACACAUUUUGAUACUUUUCAAUGGCCUAAUAGAGUUCCGUUUUCAAUGAAUGUAACAUGCAUCAACAUCAUUUUGAAUUAUGCCUAACUAUGUAAUCGCAUGAGUAAAUAAUUUGUUAUGUAAAGUGUUCAAUAUUCAGAGCAAAUAUAAUGCAAGUGCUUGUAUAAGAUGAAUGUGACUGAAUUAUAGAUAAAUGGUUAAUUAGUGUAAUUAAUUAGUUAUACGUUUCGCUUGCUACAAUAUUUGUAUGAAAUAGGUAACAUCGUAAUGCUAAUUCUUAGUUCGUCUUUGCUACUAAUGGAAGUAUUGUAAGAUUUCAAAAUGGCUGCCUAAUUUAGUUAUGAGUGUUCUGAAUAGGUAUGUAAAGUGUUAUUGGCUUUUGCAAAAAAUGUAUUGUUGGAUGUUUCGACAACUCUUCCUGCUAGAAAUCUAUAAAUCCCUGUAUAAAAUAUGAUACCUAAAAAGUACCUAUAUCUUUAUUCUAAACUAUUGCGGCCAUAAACAUUUUCUCUUUAUCUUAUAAACUAGAAGCGUGGAACGUUGUCUAAAUUAUCAUUCGCUGAAUAUGACGCGACAGUCCCUUGGAGGCUUAUCCCAUAAGCUUGUCUAUUUCCGGGCUUCAGAGCGAGUUUACGCACAUCACUAUAACUAGAAAACUAGAGAAAAGCACUCACAUUUCUGACGUAAUUUCUCACGUGCUAUUUUUUUAAACUUUGCCCCAUUCUAGGAUUUUCUCCUGUGUCCUGGGUGCGUUU